UACGUAGGGGGCAAGCGUUGUCCGGAUUUAUUGGGCGUAAAGAGCGUGUAGGCGGCCAGACAGGUCAGCUGUGAAAACUCGAGGCUCAACCUCGAGACGUCGGUUGAAACCGUCUGGCUAGAGUCCGGAAGAGGAGAGUGGAAUUCCCGGUGUAGCGGUGAAAUGCGCAGAUAUCGGGAAGAACACCCGUGGCGAAGGCGGCAUCCUGGACCGACAUUUGACGCUGAUGAGCGAAAGCCAGGGGAGCAAACGGG
rnacentral:rRNA from 1 species